rnacentral:rRNA from 1 species
GAGCAAAGGGGCGUAAAGGGUGUGUAGGCCGACUGCCCCACCCCCCCCAAGGUGGUAAAUGGAAUUUUUCUGUAGCGGUAGAAUGUGCGGAUAGAAAAUAGAACCCCAAAAGCAGAAGCAAUUUACCGCGGGGCGGGAGGGGGGCCCCCUGGGGCGCCCCCCGGGCUACGGGCUGAAACACGAGGGUGUGGGGAACAAACAGGAUUAGAGACCCUGGUAGUCCACACUGUAAACGAUGGAGAAAAUGCGAAUGCAGCCCCGAAAGGCAGCAAUCUCCCGCCUGAGUAGUACGAUCGCAAGAUUAAAAUUCAAAAAAUUUGGCUGUUCACCGUUUCGAUUAGAGGAGCGUGUAGUUUAAUUCGAUAAACCGCGAGAUACCUUACCCAAACUUGAAUCCUUGAGGAUUCCAAGGAAUCCUUAUGGACCGGUAUUGCAUGGCCGUCGUCAGUUCGUGUAUGAAACCUUAAACGGACCCAACCCGAGGAUUAGCCGCGGAUGAAGUCAGGUCUUAUGGUCCCAAUGUUUGGGGAUAAUAUGCGCUACAUUUUCUUAUACAAUGGGAAACCUGGGAGGUGAAACCCAAAAGUGAGAGUUCGGUAGGCUAUUGGAAGAUGGCCGAAAGUUGAAUUUAAUAGUAAUCGGAAAGU